UGUACUCCCUUGCUUGCGCUGUGGAGUUGUUCUGAAUAGAGUCAUCAAGAGCCAUUAGAGAUCAACAAAUUCAUGCUGUAAGCUGUCUUACCUGCCUUUCAUUGACUUAUUUAUAUUGCUUAUUUUUCUGUAAAGAUAAUAACUUUCUAUUGGUGCUUGUUGGUCUUGGGAGACUGAGGUUGCUAGGUUAGCCAGAAGAAAUAAAUAUUUCAGCUCUUGCCUUUACCAUAUGUUUCGUUUUUGAGAGUUUAGGUACUGAAAGAGAUCAUUCUUACCUUCCAAGAAACGAUGACAUGAUAUUGUGUUUAGACAGUUGCAAAUGAUGAAUGAUGUGGACUGUUAUCCGUAACCAAAGAAUGUAAUAAGCAAAUAAUUUGCAUAGAGACGAAUGUGAACAUGAGUGAUGUGGUCUAUGUGAGAACUGACUGAAUCCUUGAUUCGAGUAAGAACCUAUUGAUAUCAAAUUGGUUUAUAUUUUAUUGCACUGUAAGUUGACCUCAAAGGUUGGAACAAGCUAUUAUUGGGAAAUGAAUUUGAUUUGUUUGUCUCAGUAUUAUGAUGGUUUUGUUAACAGAAAAAAACUGAAGUGAUUUAUCAAUUGUCAGUAUGUGGUUUUAACUGCUUUUUCGGUUUUUGGCUACUAAUGAAUGAUAUAAAAUUCAAAGGGAUGGGAGUGGACAUAGAGUUUGGGAGUGAAGAGAUUGUAUAUUAGACUUUUGGAUAAGUUGACUGAGAAAAUAUUCUUGUUUUACUUGUUGAUCCUUGAAAAUAACUGGUUUUAGAUAAAAUUAAUAUGGGGAUAAGUUUAAUGUCCCAGUUACAUGUGGUGAAGGUUAACUCUUGUGAAUGACUUUCUUCCUCCAUUUUAUUUAUUUAUUUGUUCGGAAGAUGUUGUAUAUUUGGCCAUAUUCAUUGUUUGCCGUGUCUGAUUUCUCGUAGUCCCUAUGCGCCUUUAGAUUGUCCAUAAUGCUAUUCUCUACGCUAGUUUGGACAAUUGACAAUAGUACUUGUUCCUUAUGUUUUCUAUUUACAGAUUUUGAUUGCUGACUACUGACCAUAGACAUUGUUCCCAUACUUUUUUGAGUUAAUUGUUGGUGGUAUUAAUACAAGUAACUUUUUUCCUCUGCAGAUUAACCUGUUGGGGACAUAAACCAUGGGGCUUUUGAUGGUGAAAUGCAAUCUGACACAUUCGUUCUUGCCUACUGCGAAUCUGAGGGGUUUUAUUAAUUUGUUGCGAAACUUAUUUUUAGCGUUGAUUUCUUGUUGUUUUCUAGUGAGGACUUGAAUUUGCCCGCUGUGCAUACGGAUUUAUGUGCACCUUAUAAAUUUAUCCAACCGUUUCAACUAUCAUUUUGGUUACUCUUUAACAGAACUCUAUUAUUACUUGCCUUCUUUUUUUAAUCAACCAUUGUGACUAAUGAUCCUUUUUCUUUUACUCUUGAAUUUUAGGAAAGGUGAAAUUGCAGUGCAUGUCUUCAACCUUUCAAUUAUGCAGUUUUUGAUGGAUGGAUAAAUUGGAUACACCCUUAAUUUCAAUAAAAUCUACGAUGAAAUAGAAAACUUGGCUCAAGUUUGUAUGCAAAAGGAUGCAUAUGUGAUUGUAAAGAGUAAUACUAAAUAUUAGUGUUACUUAUUUAUUGUCCGAUGAAUUUGGAUUUAUUUAGAUUUUCGUAUUUUUGGAUCAUGAGCUUGUAGUAGACCGGUAAGAAGCAAAUUUGAAAAUGUCAUAAGGCCUAUUAUCUCCUAGGAAAGACACAGCUGGGAUUAGCAUGAAAUCAUAUUUAAACAUCAAUGCAGAAAUCAGGGAAAAAUAUGCUGAGAUUAUAUCACAUUAGAACUCUGUUCAUUAGUAGGUAAAGAGCCAUUCACAUAUAUGACGAUUUCGGCUCAACCUUGUUAAAGAGGAAGUCCCUGAUAGUAGAAUAAGAUGCUUGACCUUCACAGCAACAUCAAGCCAGGGCAGCUGCUACGUGAUUAUUUCUUGAUUCUUGGUUUAGAAGUAGAUGGAUCGAUGAUACAAAUUGCCCAAUGUUAAUACAGUUUAUGUUCGCUUUCGUUCACAAGAAUUCAAAUACCCUUGUGGGCUUUGUUUAUAAAGCAUAAUAAUUUUUAUUUUUAUUUUUUUAUUUUUUUAUUUUUUUAUUUUUUUUUUUUUGGCAUUCUCAGACAGACAUCCUGAUAUGAUUCAAAAUGGAGUGAAU
rnacentral:lncRNA from 1 species